rnacentral:rRNA from 1 species
AUGAUCUGGCAUGUACAGACUGAAAACUUCAUUCUCGAUUCUACGAGAAUUUUUAUGAAAGCGUUUCAUUUGCUUCUCUUCAAUGGAAGUUUCAUUUUCCCAGGAUGUAUCCUAAUUUUUGGCCUAAUUCUUUGA